rnacentral:rRNA from 1 species
GUGGGGAAUAUUGGACAAUGGGCGAAAGCCUGAUCCAGCAAUGCCGCGUGAGUGAUGAAGGCCCUAGGAUUGUAAAAUUCUUUCACCGGGGACGAUAAUGACGGUACCCGGAGAAGAAGCUCCGGCUAACUUCGUGCCAGCAGCCGCGGUAAUACGAAGGGGGCUAGCGUUGCUCGGAAUUACUGGGCGUAAAGGGCGCGUAGGCGGUUUAUCAAGUCAGGGGUGAAAUCCCGGGGCUCAACCCCGGAACUGCCCUUGAAACUGGUUCACUAGAAUCCUGGAGAGGCGAGUGGAAUUCCGAGUGUAGAGGUGAAAUUCGUAGAUAUUCGGAAGAACACCAGUGGCGAAGGCGACUCGCUGGACAGGUAUUGACGCUGAGGUGCGAAAGCGUGGGGAGCAAACAGGAUUAGAAACCCUGGUAGUCC